UUUCCGUAGGUGAACCUGCGGAAGGAUCGUUCACGAUUGCAAAGUGAUUUAUGACACUUUUCAGAAAAAAUCCAUAUCCACCUUGUGUGCAACGUUUUUGUCUUUUUUUUUCUCUUUUAUUUUCAAGAGAGAGAGGAGGCAUUUUCAUCAACCUAAAAUCGUCUUGAAACGAAGAUAUUCUGAAAAAUUAAUGUUUUUAACAAUAAAAAACAACUUUCAACAACGGAUCUCUUGGCUCUC
rnacentral:misc_RNA from 1 species